UACGUAGGGUGCAAGCGUUGUCCGGAAUUAUUGGGCGUAAAGAGCUCGUAGGCGGUUUGUCGCGUCUGGUGUGAAAAUCCAGGGCUUAACCCUGGACCUGCAUCGGUUACGGGCAGACUAGAGUGCGGUAGGGGAGAUCGGAAUUCCUGGUGUAGCGGUGAAAUGCGCAGAUAUCAGGAGGAACACCGGUGGCGAAGGCGGGUCUCUGGGCCGAUACUGACGCUGAGGAGCGAAAGCGUGGGGAGCGAACAGG
rnacentral:rRNA from 1 species